rnacentral:tRNA from 1 species
GCGAGAGUGGCGGAAUUGGUAGACGCGCCAGAUUUAGGAUCUGGUGUCCGAAAGGACGUGGGGGUUCGAGUCCCCCCUUUCGCA